rnacentral:rRNA from 1 species
AUGCCUAGGUUACAGAGGUGUGCUACCGCAAGAAGAAAGAAAAUUCUUGGGGUUGGUCGUGGCAAUAUGGCUGCAGCUGCAGACCACGAUGACGACUUCAUGGAGCCACCGGUCAGGUCGUCAUCACUUCCCGUAAAAUAUGUAGCGCCGAUUUCUAGAUGCACACCCAUUUCAAUUUCGUCCAUCGUGAACGAUUUUAAGGAUGAAAAGAAACGCUUAGUCAGGGAGAUGAAGUUUGAUGGAAUUUUGAAACUACCAGAAAUCACAAACUCUCGUGAAUUUAGUCACAACCUUCUAUCUAGGGUAUCCACUGAAGAUAUAGCAAUUAGAAUGGGUGAUGGAUCUCUUCUCUACUUCACUGAUGGUGAUGUUCACAAAGUUCUGGGUAUCCCAUUCACGGGAAAGGAGUUGCGAAUUCCUUCCAUGGAAGAAAUCAAUCACAUCAAAAAUAUAAUAUGCAUCCGACUGAACGUCCCGGAGUUUAAAAAAAUCACGAGAACUGUACUAACUGAUAUUCUAAGCAAGAAACAUGAAGCACCAAUGUCGGAUGAUGAAGUUGCUGCCUUCAAGACUGCAUUCAUUCUACUUGUGAUGACCAAAUUCCUUGCGCCACAAACUUUGUUGGACAAUAUAUGUCCGAGGUAUUUUAUGGCGCUCAAGAAUUUGGAUGACAUACAUAAUUGGAACUGGGCAAGGUAUGUCGUUAAUGACAUUAUAGCAGCAGCGCAGGCAUUGGCCAACAAGCUCACUGAUGAAACAAAAGCCACCUAUAUAAAUGGAUGUGUCAUAUUUCUGCAGAUAUUCUACUUGGACAACCUGGAAUUGGGUCCGCUAAGUCUCAAGCAUGAUUGCUUCCCACGAAUUAUGGCGUAUGAUAAACAUGCAAUAAAAGUACGAAUGAGUAUGGACCUCAAAGAGAAGAAUCAGUACAAGCCAACCCAGUUUGGGAUGAUGAAGCUACGUCCAAGAAGUGAAGUCUGUUACAGCAGACAUACAAUGGGUAUGAUGUCGGCUUUUCGAGCUGAAAGUGGCGCUGUCCCAUCAGAGAUCAAUCCUGAUAAUAGCAAGAUAGUUCAGCAAGCAUUCCUGAUUAGGGACAAUUUGUCAGAUGGAAAUAUAGAUUCCUGCGCCAAUGUAUUUCGUCAAACUUCUCAUGUUCAGCUGCAGCAUCCCUCUGUCUAUUUCAUUUCAGCUCUAGCUCAGAUGCAAUUUACGACCAACAUACCGACAGCAAAUAAUUUGCAUGCCAAAACAUCAACAUCAAUGGGUACACCAGGUUCAAAUGGAUCACUCGAUUUAAAUCGGUCGGUUAAGAGUGAGCAAGAGACGAGCUUGAACCUGAACAAAACAUACCCACGUCAAUCAUUGUGCGAUAUAGAGCCACCCUCCUUUGAUCUCGGCAUUGACCUAACACCAGUACAAGAAUCAAAGAAAGUUUACACAGACACCAUGUUUGCGAAGUUCAGCGACCAGGUAUACAUGAGUGCGUCUUACUUUGUCCAAGAAAUCAGAGAUGAUGGCACAUACAUAACAGUUCACAUGGAAUGUGAUACGAGGGAAAACUGGAGUAAGUUGGAGUUUCCAGUUCAUGUAAAGAAAGAUGAAGAGGAGUACAGAUGUAUUUGUAGGUUAUUUGAACACAUGGGCAUAUUAUGCUCACACAUAAUCAGGGUUAUGAUGCAUAUUGGGUGCCGGAAUCUUCCAGACAAAUACAUCAAGAAAAGAUGGACGAGCAAUGCCCGAGAAGGAAAUAAAAGCAGAUUCAACAUGCAUGCUGCUGCUUCGAGGACUCACCGGCAUACCCUGUUAUUCGAAGCUUGCAUGGACCUAUCGUCCAAAGGUGAUGCAUCAGUUGAUGCGUACCAUGUUGCAAUGAGGAAAAUUACUGAAGCUUUACAGGAGAUCCGUUUGAUGCCAACCCAAGAAGAUGCUACGGCUAUACUUCAAGUCCACACAACAUCUACACAUUUAUCUGCGGAAUCAGAUGAUGAGUGUGCCAAUGAAAUGGAAGAUGAGGACAUCUUGGAAGCUCAACUUCAUGACGAUGUGCUUCCACCAAACCGACGCAAGAAGCGAGGACGUCCAAGGACAGCAAGGCUCAAAUCUGCUGCCGAAGGUGGUGUACGUACAAAACGGAAAUGUUCAUUCUGCCAAGAGAAAGGACACUACAGAACUGGUUGUCCUCAAAACCCAGAGAAUUUGACAAAGUCAAAGAUUAAUAAAGUCUGCAAGAAGUGCCAGCUUCCUGGCCACAACACCUCUACAUGUGGC